rnacentral:lncRNA from 1 species
AAGAGUACUGGAGUUGGGUGCCAUUGCCUUCUCCGAGGAGGUGUCUAACGUCAGCGCAUGUGUCCAACAGCAAGUGAUGUUUGAAGGGUGUCUAACGUUAAUUACUCAUUGGAAAAGACUCUGAUGCUGGGAGGGAUUGGGGGCAGGAGGAGAAGGGGACGACAGAGGAUGAGAUGGCUGGAUGGCAUCACCGACUCGGUGGAUGGGUUCACUUGAGUUUGAGUGAACCCCGGGUGUUGGUGAUGGACAGGGAGGCCUGGCGUGCUGCAAUUCGUGGGGUCGCAAAGAGUCGGAGAGGACGGAGCAACUGAACUGAACUAACGUUAGUUAGCACGUGCACCCAACCACAAAUGGAUUCUGAUGUUUGAAAGUGUGGAAGAAUUAUCUGUCUCAGACAUACAUGCACCCCAUUGUUCGUGGUUUUGGAUUGUAUGUGCUCUCAUCUUGUCUCUUCAGUAAACUGUGAGUUUCCUGAGGGCAGGGUAUAGAUCAGUCUUUCCUGUCGGUCGCUCCCUCCCUCCUUGUUAAUGUCUAAAGUGACAGUGAAAGUGAAGUCACUCAGUCGUGGCCGACUCUUUGUGACCCCAUGGUCUGCAGCCUGUGCCAAACCCCUCCAUCCAUGGGGUUUUCCAGGCAAGAAUACUGGAGUGGGUCACCAUUUCCUUCUCCAGGGCAGCUUCCCGACCCAGGGACUGAACCCUGGUCUCCUGCACCACAGGCAGACUCUUUACUGAGCCACCAGGGAAUGUCUAGUGCAGUAACAAAUCCACACUAGAUAAUCAGUGUUAACAGAUCUAUGGAGCCGGUAACAGACAAAAGUCAUCAGGUUAGCUCCCAGAGCAAACUGUUCAAUAUCAUGUUGUAGUGCCUGAAGAAUUUAGGGGUUACUGACUGGAGAGGGAGAGGAGGGUGAGGCAUAUAUUUUAGCGAUUAAUUCUUGCCUUGGUAUGUUUAGUCUUUUGAAGGAUGAAAAGGAAGAAAAAAAGUAAAAGCUCUGUUGACAGUUAAAAGCAGACAUCUGUUCUCUUCACCAAGACCCUCAGAGACCCGCCAGACUGGACCAAGGCCUCUGGAGCCCUUCCCAAGAACCUUCUUGCUUGGAAGAUUAGCAGUUUCUUCUCAAGCACCGCUCUCAACUUGGCUAAACACCUUGAAACAGUUCCAGCAAGACGUAUGUCCCUCAGAUCCCAGGGCAGCCUGCCAGGCUCAUCUGUCCAUGGGAUUCUCCAGGCCAGAAUACUGGAGUGGGUUGCCAUGCCUUCCUCCAGGGGGUCUCCCCAACCCAGGGAUUGAACUCAGGUCUCCCAGGUUGCAGGUGGAUUCUUCACCAUCUGAGGCACCAGAGAGUGAGUAUAUGUGUAUGUACAUAUCUAUGUUUAUGUGUCUGUGGUUUAAAAAGUGUUGUUUCUAGAAUUUACCAUAACUACUGCUGUGUGUGUACCCCCAGAAGUCAUAGGUUGAAAUCUUAACUGCAUAUCGUAUAUAUUUAUAAAAUGCAUGUAUUAUAGUGAAGGGCAGGGAAUCCAGUGUGCUACAGUCCAUGGGGUCACAAUGAGUCCAACAGGACUUAGUGACUGGCCAACAACAAUGCAUAUGUAUGUGUGAGUGUAUGUGUCUAUGCAUGUAUAUGUUUAUAUAUCUGUGGUUAAAACCCACUCCAGUAUUCUUGCUUGGAGAAGUCCAUGGACAGAGGACCCUGGCAGGCUAUAGUCCAUGGGGUCACAAAGAGGGGGACACGACUGAGAGACUAACAUUUUACUUUUCAUUGUUUAGUUUUAGAUGAAAAAGGAGAGUUUCUAUCUUUGGCAUGUGACUAAUGACUAUGUUUAUGCUUCUAAGAAAGGAUUAAUUUUUCAGUUCACAGGAAAAUAAGAGUGGGGAAGAGGAAGAUUCAUGGAGGAGCGAUAUAAGAGUGAAACGAGAGAUGGAGUUUAAAAGUGUGCCUGUGUGUUAGUAUAUUUGAGUUUGAUAAUAAGGACAGUGAAGAACAGAAAGAGAAAAGCUGUGAGUGCUUGAGUCCCCUUAAUGGGAAGAAUAGAGGUCUGCGGAAAACAUAGGCAUCAUGUUACUCUCUGAUGACCAUGCAGUGGCACUGUUGACAGGAGACAGCUUCCUGCUGUCACUUCCAAAUUAUGGUGUGUGCAUUCUAGGGAAGUGCAAGACUGUCCCUUAAGAUGCCUGAAGAAAAUAUUUUGUUGUUGUUGUUUAGUCGCUAAGUUGUGUCUGACUCUUUGGCAACCCCAUGGAAUGUAGCCUGCCGAGCUCCUCCGUCCAUGGGAUUUCCCAGUGCUAUUUCCUUCUCCUGGGGAUCUUGCCUGCCCAGGGGUCGAACUAGCAUCUCUUGCAUCAGCAGGUGGAUACUGUACACUGAGUCACCAGAUAUUAGAACUCCAAACUCUAUUAAGAUUUUAUCUUGAGAAAAUACAAAUACACUAAACUUUGCUAGUAGUGAAUAUAUGAUUGAUACUUGCUCCGGCAGUGGCACCCCACUCCAGUACUCUUGCUUGGAAAAUCCCAUGGACGGAGGAGCCUGUUAGGCUGCAGUCCAUGGGGUCGCUAAGAGUUGCAUACGACUGAGCGACUUCACUUUCACUUUUCACUUUCCUGCAUUGGAGAAGGAAAUGGCAACCCACUCCAGUGUUCUUGCCUGGAGAAUCCCAGGGACGGGGGAGCCUGGUGGGCUGCCGUCUCUGGGGUCGCACAGAGUUGGACAGGACUGAAGUGACUUAGCAUAGCACUGGCUCCGUCACUCAUCACUUAAGUAGAGGAUUCUGCAUCACGUGGUCUGCAAGAGGAGUGGGAGCUCUGUAACUCAGAGUUGGUGGCAGCUACCUCAUUCUGAGCUUACAGUGACGUAUUGUAGUUUGCAUGUUCUUGGUGAAAUGGAUUUAUACACUAUAUUACUGAUUAUGAUAAUUUAACACUCUUAAAAUGUAUAAGUGACUUAAAAUGUUUCCUGCAAAGAAACUGCUGGUCAAGAUGGUCCUAAUAAUUCAAGUCAAUAAUAAGAACAAUGGAAAAAUGGAAAAACAGCAUGCCCCAUCCUGGUUUGAACUUUUUCUCAGAUAUAUUGUGAGCUAAAAACAGUGGCUAUUGGUGAUAUGUUAUCUAGCAGCUUUUUUUUUUUUUUUUAGAAAAUAUACCCACUUAGUCAAUCUUUUUGAAAUGAAAGUGAUAUUUUUGGUAAUAAAUGAGGAAAUAAUGGCCUUUGAAGAAAACUC